AAUGAACGUUGGCGGCAGGCCUAACACAUGCAAGUCGAGCGAAGCCUUCGGGCUUAGCGGCGGACGGGUGAGUAACGCGUGGGAACGUGCCCUUUGCUACGGAAUAGCCCCGGGAAACUGGGAGUAAUACCGUAUGUGCCCUUCGGGGGAAAGAUUUAUCGGCAAAGGAUCGGCCCGCGUUGGAUUAGGUAGUUGGUGGGGUAAUGGCCUACCAAGCCGACGAUCCAUAGCUGGUUUGGGAGGAUGAUCAGCCACACUGGGACUGAGACACGGCCCAGACUCCUACGGGAGGCAGCAGUGGGGAAUCUUAGACAAUGGGGGAAACCCUGAUCUAGCCAUGCCGCGUGAUCGAUGAAGGCCUUAGGGUUGUAAAGAUCUUUCAGUGGGGAAGAUAAUGACUGUACCCACAGAAGAAGCCCCGGCUAACUCCGUGCCAGCCGCCGCGGUAAGAC
rnacentral:rRNA from 1 species